CACUCCUGGCAAUGAAAAAAGAGACACUUUGUUGUUGGUGCUGUUUUAUAUCAGUUAGGGGCAGAGUAGAUGACAGAGGGUUGUUCAUCCUAGCUUGAUGCCUGGCUUGGUCGACAAAGCUGACUUAUGCUUAGGACUCAUAA